rnacentral:rRNA from 1 species
UACGGAGGGGGCUAGCGUUGUUCGGAAUUACUGGGGCGUAAAGCGCACGUAGGCGGCUUUGUAAGUUAGAGGUGAAAGCCCGGGGCUCAACUCCGGAAUUGCCUUUAAGACUGCAUCGCUAGAAUCGUGGAGAGGUGAGUGGAAUUCCGAGUGUAGAGGUGAAAUUCGUAGAUAUUCGGAAGAAACACCAGUGGCGAAGGCGACUCACUGGACACGUAUUGACGCUGAGGUGCGAAAGCGUGGGGAGCAAACAGG